CUAGACAUAGCACAGCUUGGUAGUGCACACCCUUGGGGUGGGUGGGGUCGAGAGUUCAAAUCUCUCUGUCUAGA
rnacentral:tRNA from 1 species